AAUCGAUAAGUUGCUCUGGCCCAGUUAAUCUCGUUCUCACUGUAAAGAAUAUAUACAUAUAAAGCUAAAUACGGCAAUGGAUAUGAAAAAUAAUUAGGAAUAUCAGUCCUCAUUAAGCCACUCACCUGAGCGUCUUAAGCCACUGAGGAUCCUGCAUAACUUCUUUAUUCCAGGAUAAAAAUUCUGAUAUGGCAGUUUUACG
rnacentral:lncRNA from 1 species